rnacentral:rRNA from 1 species
GGGACGAACGCUGGCGGCGUGCUUAACACAUGCAAGUCGAACGGAAAGGCCCGCUUGCGGGUACUCGAGUGGCGAACGGGUGAGUAACACGUGGGCAACCUGCCCUCAGCUUCGGGAUAACACUUGGAAACAGGUGCUAAUACCGGAUAAUAACCUUUCAUCGCAUGGUGUGGGGUUCAAAGUUUUUCGGCUGGGGAUGGGCCCGCGGCCUAUCAGCUUGUUGGUGGGGUAAUGGCCUACCAAGGCGACGACGGGUA